rnacentral:rRNA from 1 species
AUUGAACGCUGGCGGCAUGCUUUACACAUGCGAGUCGAACGGUAACAGGCCGCCAGGUGCUGACGAGUGGCGAACGGGUGAGUAAUGCAUCGUAAGGUGCCCAGUCGCGGGGGAUAACUACUCGUAAGAGUAGCUAAUACCGCAUACGAUCUAUGGUUGAACGCGGGGGUCGGUAAGGCCUCGCUCGACUGGAUCGUCGGAUGUCAGAUUAGGUAGUUGGCGGUGUAAAGGCACACCAAGCCAACGAUCUGUAGCAGGUAUGAGAGGACGACGAGCCACCCUGGGAGUGAGAAACGGCACAGACUCCGAGGGUGGGACGCAGUGGAGAAUUUUGGGCGAUGGGGGAAAGCGUGAUCCAGCAAUGCCGCGGGAAGGAAGAAGGACUUCGGGUUGGAAACUGAUUAUGUACGGAACGAAACGACGCUGGUUAACACCCGAGGAUAAUGACGGUACCGUAAGAAUAAGCACCGGCUAACUACGUG